GUGGCAUCUGUGCUGUGCCUGUCAUUCAUUGAGAACAGUUUGUUUUCUGCUUAUGGAAUCACAAAAAUAUUUAAUCUGAAGCUUCAGUGGUGCAGCCGUCCUUGAGGCUGCAGACCAUAGGAUCCUUCCUUCUCUGUCUGGAUGCACUGGAGGGCCAGCAUUCUCGGAGGUGGCCAGGGUCCUCUGAGAAGCCAGCGCCCAAGUGGUACCUGAGUCCAGUGAACGGCAAGUUUCUUUUCUGGGAGCUGCUAUCACUGAAUACAUAAAGAAAUUGAGCCUAUAUGAUUUCAAUCUUCACCUUCUGAUGCUGAUGAAACAGGAUUCUAUGCAGAGAAAAUCCUCUCCAGUCAAGUAAUUGCAUCCAUUUCAUCUUCCCAGCCCUCCUCUAGAUGGGAGGUGGAGGACAGUGGGGACCCCAGCCAGAGCCUGGGGACUUGGCUGCCUUGGAACCAGAACCUGGCCCCUCAGAGGAGUUGCAGAAUUUCGAUAGAGGAGUGGCAGGAGGUGUACUGGCUGAAGAGGAGGCCCAAGGAACUCCUUUUCAUACAUCAAAACUGAGCUUAUCACCUCUACCCUGAAGUCAUCCUGGACAUCACUGGUCCCAGUUAAUCACUCACUUAUCUUUGCCAUCCUUGACCUGGCUGGAGUGAGCCCUUGAGCUGACCCAGAAGUUCUGAGCAUUUAUCACCCAGUAUUGAUGACCAUGUAUUUUGCCUCCUCUCUUUAUGCCUAAAGAUGAAGGAAGAAAUACAAGCUCAUGUUACAAAGAGUAUUUCCUGGGUUUAUCAGCUCUCCCCCUCUCAGCUUGAGCUCUGAAUGAUUUCUUAGUUCUCAGCUUUUCUUCCUCUGAUCAAAGUGCCUGAGGCAGUGAGCACUGGGAGGGCAGGAGCAUUUCUGGCUGAGCCCAAUGCUCACCUCUUCUGGGCCGUUUUAGGAAGCUGUGGCCCAGUGUUCUCUGGUCAGACAAGCAUGGCCUGGCUGUGGAAGGGUCUCCAAAGGCUCAUGGGUCCCAGGUGCCCUGGAUUUUGAAGGCAGCUGCCCUGCCUCCACUGGGAGAAGAUUAAAGCCCCCUUUGCCUUUCUUCGUCCCUCCCUUUCCCACUCUGUUCACUCAAUCACUCUUUUCUCUCCAAUGAAUUAAAUGCAGAAAAUCCAUGAGCAGGAUUUCUCUCUUCAAAGGACCAAAUAACCUUCUUUCUAUUCCCCCUAAAUUUUUUUCCAAACUGCAAAAAGAAAACAUGCAAACAGACUUCAAGUUAAAGGUGAGAGAAAGAAAGAAAAAUUGAAGCAAAGUAAUUUUAACUUGAGAAGUAGAGCAGUUUAAACCCAGAAAAAAAAUGUACACUCCGCAAUAUAGUCCUUUCCUACAAAUUAAUUAACCCAAAGUACUUGUUUAAUUAGUGUGAGGGGUAGGGAAUUGAGUAGCUAACAAUAUCUCUCACCCAGUUUAGAAUUAUGUUCACAAAAGAAUUUCUUCUUCUUUUCCUGAAAGGGAAGAGAACGUUGCCCUCAUUGGUCUGGAAUCAGCAGGUACCUCAUGGCUGGAGGUGUAUUUUCAGGUGGGUUGGGACUUUGAAGAGGUGGCUUUUCCUAUGGACCCCUCUGACUCCCCACCUGUGGGCAUGACACAGGUGACCUGGCUGCCAGGGCAGAGGCUGCUUAGCCCUGCUCCAGAGAAACAGAGCUCUGAGGGCUUCCAGAAACCAGGGCUCCUGGCUCCUCAGUCCUUCCCACUCCUCUCUUCCUACUCCCGUGCUGCAUAUAAACUUUUCUUUUUUUUUCAGAUGGAGUCUCACUCUGUCACUCAGGCUGGAGUGCAGUGGUGCGAUCUCAGCUUACUGCAACCUCCGCCUCCCGGGUUCAAGUGAUUCUCCUGCCUCAGCUUCCCCAGUAGCAGGGACUACAGGACCACAGGUUACAGGCAUGAGCCACUGCACUUGGCCUGCAUAUAAACUUUUUGAGUUUCCUGCUUUUGACAUGAGCAUGGAUAUUUAUCACUUCUAGAGGCAUUAGGAGAACUCAAGUCCAAGUGCUCAGAGACCUACAGUGCAGCUUAAGACCCUGUCACAGGAAUCUUCGGGGUGGGGGCAUGCACGGGAGUUAUAGAGAGUUGGGGAAGGAUGAGUUCUCAACCAAUGCUUUCCUUUUUUCCACAGACUCCUUUGGCAUCUGGUGAGGCCUGUGGAUUCAUUCUCAGAAUCACAUUUUUAAAUGCACAUAAUAAAAUACAUAGAAUUGCAAAGGAAGUUAAUUAUAUUGAAAUACAGUUAUCAAAAAUAUAAAUAAAACAAGUAUGUGGUACAGUCAUAUGUGUGCUUCUUUAUUAAGUCAUUACAAAGCAAGAUCUAUUUGGAGGUCUAAUAACUGUCAUAUGCUUGAAAAAAUCCUUAACAAUCAUAAUAUAUUAAAAAAUCUGAUUUCUACUUUGGCAAAUCAUAGAUAUUGCUGAAACUGUGGUUUAUUGCCUGCAUUCAUAAUUGAAGGAAAUGCUAGAGUUCAGUGAGAAGGUUGUGAAAAUAAAGAGAGCCUUUUUUUCUCAUCAAG
rnacentral:lncRNA from 1 species